rnacentral:rRNA from 1 species
UGAGGAAUAUUGGACAAUGGGCGCAAGCCUGAUCCAGCCAUGCCGCGUGAGUGAUGAAGGCCUUCGGGUUGUAAAACUCUUUUAGUGGGGACAAUAAUGAUGGUACCCACAGAAAAAGCCACGGCAAACUUCGUGCCAGCAGCCGCGGUAAUACGAAGGUGGCAAGCGUUACUCGGAAUUACUGGGCGUAAAGCGCGUGUAGGCGGAAUUUUAAGUCAGGGGUGAAAUCCCGGGGCUCAACCUCGGAAUUGCCUUUGAAACUUUAAUUCUUGAGCAUAGCAGAGGGUGGUGGAAUUCUCAGUGUAGAGGUGAAAUUCGUAGAUAUUGAGAGGAACAUCGGUGGCGAAGGCGACCACCUGGGCUAUUGCUGACGCUGAGACGCGAAAGCGUGGGGAGCAAA